AGUAAGGAAUAUUGGACAAUGCCCGCAAGGGUGAUCCAGCCAUGCCGCGUGCAGGAAGACGGCCCUAUGGGUUGUAAACUGCUUUUGUACCGGAGAAAACCUCCCCUCGUGAGGGGAGCUGAUAGUAUGGUAAGAAUAAGCAUCGGCUAACUUCGUGCCAGCAGCCGCGGUAAGACGAAGGAUGCAAGCGUUAUCCGGAUUCAUUGGGUUUAAAGGGAGCGUAGGUGGUCUUAUAAGUCAGUGGUGAAAUCUCUGGGCUUAACCCAGAAAUUGCCAUUGAUACUGUAGGGCUUGAGUACAGUUGCCGUUGGCGGAAUAUGACAUGUAGUGGUGAAAUACAUAGAGAUGUCAUAGAACACCGAUUGCGAAGGCAGCUAACGAAACUGUAACUGACGCUGAGGCUCGAAAGUGUGGGGAUCAAA
rnacentral:rRNA from 1 species